rnacentral:rRNA from 1 species
UACGUAGGGCGCGAGCGUUAUCCGGAAUUAUUGGGCGUAAAGAGCUCGUAGGCGGUUUGUCGCGUCUGCUGUGAAAACUGGAGGCUCAACCUCCAGCCUGCAGUGGGUACGGGCAGACUCGAGUGCGGUAGGGGAGACUGGAAUUCCUGGUGUAGCGGUGGAAUGCGCAGAUAUCAGGAGGAACACCGGUGGCGAAGGCGGGUCUCUGGGCAGUAACUGACGCUGAGGAGCGAAAGCGUGGGGAGCGAACAGG